AUAGUGACGCCAAUACCAUUCCAUGUUCUGGCAAGAGGACAAGAUGUUCUCCCCUUUGCUCCUGGAGUCAGAACUACUCACCUAACAUGAAGAUGCAGAUGUGGGAAUAACUGAGUCAGAUCUAAUGACAGGACCUGGUCCCAGGAAAUCUUGCCUCAUCUCUCUACUGUUUUCAUCAGAUAUUUGAUAACCAAUUGCUCACAUGAAAAGUAGCUUUGUUAUCUGAUAACCACAAUUCAAAUGUGAAGAGGAUGAAUUCUAGCUGAGAUAGUUCAAAAGUAACAUGUGGAGACCAUUGCAGACCACAAUCAACCAGAAUGCAGAAUAGUGGAGCCCAGUCCCAGUGGGUACAUCUACAGAACACUCCUGCACUUAAGGAAGAGGAGACAGAAAGAUUCUAAGAACCAAAGGACCAGGGAGUUUCCCAUGAGACUAUGUCUUCUAGCAAUGUAUGAUCUAUACCCAUGAAGUCACCAACAUGACUGCAUAAACAAGAGAUGAACACGGACAACAACCAUAGACAAGCCAGAGUAGAUAGAGAAAUCCCAUGAGGCCUCAACCCUAUGCAAAGAAUUAAAGUCAACUAAGGAAUUCUGAAAGCAGGAGAAAUGGUCUCAUCUAGGGAAGA